UCAGUUAAACGGCCGCGGUAUCCUGACCGUGCAAAGGUAGCAUAAUCAUUCGUUCCCUAAAUAGGGACUUGUAUGAAUGGCCACACGAGGGCUUUACUGUCUCUUACUUCCGAUCCGUGAAAUUGACCUUCCCGUGAAGAGGCGGGAAUAUGACAAUAAGACGAGAAGACCCUAUGGAGCUUUAAUUAACCGACCCAAAGAGAUCUUAACAACUAACCGAUAGGGACAACAAACCUCUACCAUGGGUCGACAAUUUAGGUUGGGGUGACCUCGGAGAAUAAAACAACCUCCGAGUGAUUUAAAUCUAGACUAACCAGUCGAAAGUACUACAUCACUUAUUGAUCCAAAAACUUGAUCAACGGAACAAGUUACCCUAGGGAUAACAGCGCAAUCCUAUUUUAGAGUCCAUAUCGACAAUAGGGUUUACGACCUCGAUGUUGGAUCAGGACAUCCCGAUGGUGCAGCAGCUAUCAAAGGUUCGUUUGUUCAACGAUUAAAGUCCUACGUGAUCU
rnacentral:rRNA from 1 species